AGUGAACGCUGGCGGUAGGCCUAACACAUGCAAGUCGAACGGCCGCACAGUAAGAGCUUGCUCUUACGGGUGGCGACUGGCGGACGGGUGAGGCAUACAUCGGAAUCUACUUUUUCUUGGGGGAUAACGUAGGGAAACAUACGAUAAUACCGCAUACGACCUACGGGUGAAAUCAGGGGAUCUUCGGACCUUGCGCGAUUGUAUUAGCCGAUGUCGGAUUAGCUAGUUGGCGGGGUAAAGGCCCACCAAGGCGACGAUCCGUAGCUGGUCUGAGAGGAUGAUCAGCCACACUGGAACUGAGACACGGUCCAGACUCCUACGGGAGGCAGCAGUGGGGAAUAUUGGACAAUGGGCGCAAGCCUGACCCAGCCAUACCGCGUGGGUGAAGAAGGUCUUCGGGUUGUAAAGCCCUUUUGUUGGGAAAGAAAAGCAGCAGGUUAAUACCCCGCUGUUCUGACGGUACCCAAAGAAUAAGCACCGGCUAACUUCGUG
rnacentral:rRNA from 1 species